rnacentral:rRNA from 1 species
CCUGCAGGAAAGGACAUCAACCGAGACUCCGCAAGUAGUGGCGAGCGAACGCGGACCAGGCCAGUGGCAAUCAAAGUUAAAGCGGAACGAUCUGGAAAGUUUGGCCGUAGCGGGUGACAGCCCCGUACGCGUAGAUGCUUUGAUUGUCCUAGAGUAGGGCGGGACACGAGAAAUCCUGUCUGAACAUGGGGAGACCACUCUCCAAGCCUAAGUACUCGUGCAUGACCGAUAGCGAACAAGUACCGUGAGGGAAAGGUGAAAAGCACCCCGACAAGGGGAGUGAAAUAGAACCUGAAACCGGAUGCCUACAAACAGUCGGAGCCCGCAAGGGUGACGGCGUACCUUUUGUAUAAUGGGUCAACGACUUAGUGUAACAAGCAAGCUUAAGCCGGUAGGUGUAGGCGAAGCGAAAGCGAGUCUGAAUAGGGCGAUUUAGUUUGUUGCAUUAGACCCGAAACCGAGUGAUCUAGCCAUGAGCAGGUUGAAGGUUGGGUAACACCAACUGGAGGACCGAACCCGCAUCUGUUGCAAUAGAUUGGGAUGACUUGUGGCUAGGGGUGAAAGGCCCAAUCAAACUCGGAAAUAGCUGGUUCUCCGCGAAAUCUAUUUAGGUAGAGCGUCGACCGAAUACCCCCGGGGGUAGAGCACUGGAUGGGCUAUGGGGACUCACCGUCUUACUGAUCCUAACCAAACUCCGAAUACCGGGGAGUACUAGUCGGCAGACACACGGCGGGUGCUAACGUCCGUCGUGAAAAGGGCAACAACCCUAACCUCCAGCUAAGGUCCCCAAGUCAUGGCUAAGUGGGAAAGGAUGUGAGGAUCCCAAAACAACCAGGAUGUUGGCUUAGAAGCAGCCAUCAUUUAAAGAAAGCGUAACAGCUCACUGGUCUAAAUAAGGGUCUUUGCGCCGAAAAUGUAACGGGGCUGAAGCCAUGCACCGAAGCUGAGGAUGUGUAGCAAUACACGUGGUAGCGGAGCGUUCCGUAAGCCUGUGAAGGGAUACCUGUGAGGGGUCCUGGAGGUAUCGGAAGUGCGAAUGUUGACAUGAGUAACGAUAAAGAGGGUGAGAGACCCUCUCGCCGAAAGACCAAGGGUUCCUGCUUAAAGUUAAUCUGAGCAGGGUUAGCCGGCCCCUAAGGCGAGGCAGAAAUGCGUAGUCGAUGGGAACCACGUUAAUAUUCGUGGGCCUGGUGGUAGUGACGGAUUGCUCAACUUGUUCAGACUUAUUGGAUUGUCUGGGCAGGGACGCGGUUCCAGGAAAUAGCUCCACCGUAUAGACCGUACCCGAAACCGACACAGGUGGUCAGGUAGAGUAUACCAAGGCGCUUGAGAGAACUAUGUUGAAGGAACUCGGCAAAUUGCACGCGUAACUUCGGAAGAAGCGUGACCCCAUGAUACGCAAGUAUGGUGGGGUGGCACAGACCAGGGGGUAGCGACUGUUUAUCAAAAACACAGGGCUCUGCGAAGUCGCAAGACGACGUAUAGGGUCUGACGCCUGCCCGGUGCUGGAAGGUUAAGAGGAGAGGUGCAAGCUUUGAAUCGAAGCCCCAGUAAACGGCGGCCGUAACUAUAACGGUCCUAAGGUAGCGAAAUUCCUUGUCGGGUAAGUUCCGACCUGCACGAAUGGCGUAACGACUUCCCCGCUGUCUCCAACAUAGACUCAGUGAAAUUGAAUUCCCCGUGAAGAUGCGGGGUUCCUGCGGUCAGACGGAAAGACCCCGUGCACCUUUACUAUAGCUUUACACUGGCAUUCGUGUCGGCAUGUGUAGGAUAGGUGGUAGGCUUUGAAGCGGGGACGCCAGUUUCCGUGGAGCCAUCCUUGAAAUACCACCCUUAUCGUCAUGGAUGUCUAACCGCGGUCCGUUAUCCGGAUCCGGGACAGUGUAU